rnacentral:sRNA from 1 species
GCUGGGCAUGGUGGCUCAGGCCUAUAAUCCCAGCAACUUGAGAGGCUGAGGCAGGAGGAUCUCAGGUUCAAAGCCUCAGCAAUGGUGAGGUACUAUGCAACUCAGUGAGACCCUGUCUCUA